rnacentral:rRNA from 1 species
GGCGGACGGGUGAGUAACGCGUAAGAACUCGCCCUUUAGACUGGGAUAACAGAGGGAAACUUCUGAUAAUACUGGAUAAGUUAGUAUAUCGCAUGAUAUGCAAAUGAAAGCUACGGCACUAAAGGAGAGCUUUGCGUCCUAUUAGCUAGUUGGUAAGGUAAGAGCUUACCAAGGCGAUGAUAGGUAGCCGGCCUGAGAGGGUGGACGGCCACAAGGGGACUGAGAUACGGCCCUUACUCCUACGGGAGGCAGCAGCC